rnacentral:rRNA from 1 species
GUCGAACGGCAGCACGGACUUCGGUCUGGUGGCGAGUGGCGAACGGGUGAGUAACAUAUCGGAACGUAUCCAAUAAUGGGGGAUAACUAAUCGAAAGGUUGGCUAAUACCGCAUACGCCCUACGGGGGAAAGCAGGGGAUCUUCGGACCUUGCGUUAAUGGAGCGGCUGAUAUCUGAUUAGCUAGUUGGUGAGGUAAAGGCUCACCAAGGCGACGAUCAGUAGCUGGUCUGAGAGGACGACCAGCCACACUGGAACUGAGACACGGUCCAGACUCCUACGGGAGGCAGCAGUGGGGAAUUUUGGACAAUGGGCGCAAGCCUGAUCCAGCCAUUCCGCGUGAGUGAAGAAGGCCUUCGGGUUGUAAAGCUCUUUCGCAAGGGAAGAAAACUUACUUUCUAAUAAAGAGUGAGGUUGACGGUACCUUGAUAAGAAGCACCGGCUAACUACGUGCCAGCAGCCGCGGUAAUACGUAGGGUGCGAGCGUUAAUCGGAAUUACUGGGCGUAAAGCGUGCGCAGGCGGUUUUGUAAGUCAGAUGUGAAAUCCCCGAGCUCAACUUGGGAACUGCGUUUGAAACUACAAGACUAGAAUAUGUCAGAGGGGGGUAGAAUUCCACGUGUAGCAGUGAAAUGCGUAGAGAUGUGGAGGAAUACCAAUGGCGAAGGCAGCCCCCUGGGAUAAUAUUGACGCUCAUGCACGAAAGCGUGGGGAGCAAACAGGAUUAGAUACCCUGGUAGUCCACGCCCUAAA